GGGCUCGCUUUGGCAGCACAUAUACUACAAUUGAACGAUACAGAGAAGAUUAGCAUGGCCCCUGCGCAAGGAUGACACGCAAAUUUGUGAAGCGUUCCAUAUUUAA
ensembl:snRNA U6 U6 spliceosomal RNA